UGCAAAAAAAAAAAAAAAAACCAACAGACCUCGUUAGCCCAACUAGCAAACUGCACCACUUAUCAACAAAACACCCGAUUAAUAAACGUAAAAAACAACUUCAUACUCUUUAGCUUCAACCCACAUAAGGAACAAGUUUGCACUCGCAAAAUCAAUCAACCCAAAUCUCCAAUCAAAGCAAGCUUCGAUGGCCUGAACAAAAUAAAC
rnacentral:lncRNA from 1 species